rnacentral:rRNA from 1 species
GACGAACGCUGGCGGCGUGCUUAACACAUGCAAGUCGAACGGAAAGGCCCUGCUUUUGUGGGGUGCUCGAGUGGCGAACGGGUGAGUAACACGUGAGUAACCUGCCCUUGACUUUGGGAUGACUUCAGGAAACUGGGGCUAAUACCGGCUAGGAGCUCCUGCUGCAGGGUGGGGGUUGGAAAGGUUCGGCGGUUGGGGAUGGACUCGCGGCUUAUCAGCUUGUUGGUGGGGUAGUGGCUUACCAAGGCUUUGACGGGUGGCCGGCCUGGGAGGGUGACCGGCCACAUUGGGCCUGCGAUACGGCCCAGACUCCUACGGGAGGCAGCAGUGGGGAAUAUUGCACAAUGGGCGGAAGCCUGAUGCAGCAACGCCGCGUGCGGGAUGACGGCCUUCGGGUUGUAAACCGCUUUCGCCUGUGACGAAGCGUGAGUGACGGUAAUGGGUAAAGAAGCACCGGCUAACUACGUG